GCCCGUGUGGUGGAAUUGGCAGACACGACCGAUUUAAGGUCGGUUGACCCUUCAAUGGGCGUACGGGUUCGAAUCCUGUCACGGGCA
rnacentral:tRNA from 1 species